rfam:Oryza rufipogon genomic scaffold, chr01
AAAAAAGCAAAUCCUGGGUUUCCGUGUCUAACUUUAACUGUCCGUCUUAUAUGAAACUUUUUUAUAAUUCGUAUUUUCAUUGUUGUUAGAUGAUAAAACAUGAUUAAUAUUUUAUGUGUGACUUGCCUUUUUAAUUUUUUUCAUAAUUUUUUUAAAUAAGACAGACGGUCAAAUGUUAGAUAUGGAAAUCAGAGUUUUUCUUUUU